GUCCCAAAUGAAGCCACGAAUGAACGGAAGCAGAUGAACAUGGAGAUAGUCGAUUCCGAGUAGCGAAACGAAAGGCGAUUGUUAGGCCUGAUGGCGGUCGCCAUCUCGCAACGGGAACGGGGUGUCUCCGAGGUUGACAAGGCCGACAAAGGAGGUGGGUGAAGCAGCGAGACGGCAGUGAAGGUGGGAAGAAGCCGCGAAGCUGCCGGGGUCUUCGGGUGUGUGAUUUGGGAAGGGAUGAAUACGAGCAGUCGGAAGAGCAGCUCUCUCAGAAGCAACCAAUCCAAGAAUUGAUGGAUUUGGUAGAGUGCCAGUCACAACACUAGAACCAAGUUAGGUGAGCUUGAAGGCAUCGGUUGAAGUUCCAGCAGCGGUACACGAAAGGGAAAGUACGAGGUCUCGGUGGUGUUGAUGGGGGAAACACGAAGAGGGAGAAGGCGAGCGUAGUGCGACGGGGGAAAUGGGACUGGUCCAUCUGGAGCGAUGCGAACAGCAGCAGCGAUGAAAUCGAGAUCCCCCGAGGUCUUGAUCGAUAGAAUCAGAAAGGAAGGGAGCGAGGGGUAAGACCAGAAGAGGGUCCGACGAACAGGUGGGGUUUCGGUGGCAUUGGCUCGACGGAAGAAGGAAGAGGAGGGUGCGAUGGUGAGGUCUCCGGCGAUUGCAGAAAUCAAUGAAUGUGUGGGUUGGGGCUGCUGCCUAAUGGUUCACCGGAGCACCACCACCACCGGUGGUUCAUGGCAUAGGAUGAAGAAGAAUACGAUGCUGCCCGCUCCCACUCUUUUUUUUUUUUCAUAUAUAUAUUUUUUAUUUUUUUCAAUCAACAGGUGGUAAUGGUCUUUUGGGAUGCUGUUUGUCUGUUUACAGGAAACUGUAGAAUGAAUCUCCUCUUCUUUUUUUUGAAUGCUUCCUUGUGUUUCCGUUGACAAGGGAAAGAAAAUGAAUUAAGAAAGAUUGUUGUUGUUGUUCUUGGUUGCUCAGGAAUGGAACAAGAUAUACACCAUGUACCCGAGUUUCAUUUAAAGGAAAGAAAAGAAGAGAAGAGAAAUGUGGAGAGAAAAGAAAAGAAUGGAAAAGAAAAGAAAGUGUAUUUUGUUGUUCCCGAGCUCGAUAGAAAGAAAAGGAAAAUUAUUGUU